UACGGAGGGUGCAAGCGUUAUCCGGAUUCACUGGGUUUAAAGGGUGCGCAGGCGGACUGGUAAGUCAGUGGUGAAAUCUCGUCGCUUAACGACGAAACUGCCUUUGAUACUAUCAGUCUUGAAUCCGGUAGAGAUCUGUGGAAUUCCGAGUGUAGCAGUGAAAAUGUGUAGAUAUUCGGAAGAACACCAGUGGCGAAGGCAGCAGAUUGGGCCGGUAUUGACGCUCAGGCACGAAAGCAUGGGGAUCAAACAGG
rnacentral:rRNA from 1 species